rnacentral:rRNA from 1 species
AACGAACGCUGGCGGCGUGCCUAACACAUGCAAGUCGAACGAGAAGUACGUAGCAAUACGUAUUGUAAAGUGGCGCACGGGUGAGUAACACGUGGGUAAUCUGCCCUUGAGUUUGGGAUAACCCCGCGAAAGCGGGGCUAAUACCGACUAAGACCACGGGGACCAAAGUCCCUGAGGUAAAAGACGGCCUCUAUUUAUAAGCUGUCACUUGAGGAUGAGCCCGCGGCCCAUUAGCUAGUUGGCAGGGUAAUGGCCUACCAAGGCGAUGAUGGGUAGCUGGUCUGAGAGGACGAUCAGCCACACUGGAACUGAGACACGGUCCAGACUCCUACGGGUGGCUG